CUCAGAUGCCGAAGGGGAUCAGAGCUUGUGGAUUAUCUACUAUUUCAGUCAACACGCUGGUGCAGGUUCUUAAAACAGCUAUAACUUAUGCUGCUUUUCUCUACACUCUGAUCAACUAAGUAUUUUAUUGCAAGCUUCAUAGGAUAAAAAGUGGAAGUUUGCAUAUAGAGCAUAACCCAGUUUAAUGUUUAAUUUUGUUCAUUUCCCUGUAGUUACACUAAAAAACAUGUAAAGACGAAUAGAAUGCAAAAUCGACGGCUAUCGACGAAAAUGUAAUUAAAAAGAGCUGUGCUUUGUCAUUAAACCGGUACUGAAAUUAAAAGGUUUUCAAUUGCAAA